ACUCUUAUCGAUAAGCCAUUGGAGGGCAAGUCUGGUGCCAGCAGCCGCGGUAAUUCCAGCUCCAAUAGCGUAUAUUAACGUUGUUGCAGUUAAAAAGCUCGUAGUUGAAGUGUGGGUGAUCGCUGUUGUGAGACUUCGGUCUCUCGAUAGUAAGUCACCCCCUUCCAGUAUCCAGUAGUGGGUAUUCACUUACUUACUACUGUGUGUUGGUCAUUUACUGUGAGAAAAUUAGAGUGUUCAAAGCAGGCGUUUGCUUGAAUAGAUUAGCAUGGAAUAAUAAUUGAAGGCUUUCGUGUUCGAUUUGAUUGGUUUGUUCAUGGAAGCAAGGUUAAAAGGAACAGUUGGGGGUAUUCAUAUUCACUAGUUAGAGGUGAAAUUCUCGGAUUUAUGGAAGAUGAACAA
rnacentral:rRNA from 1 species